rnacentral:rRNA from 1 species
UACAGAGGUCCCGAGCGUUGUUCGGAUUCAUUGGGCGUAAAGGGUGCGUAGGCGGUCUGCUAAGUUUGAUGUGAAAUACCCGGGGCCUCAACCCUGGAAUGGCAUUGAAUACUGGUGGACUAGAGUACCGGAGAGGAAACUGGAAUUUCACGGUGUAGGCAGUAGAAAUGCGUAGAGAGUCGAUAAGGAAGACCAGGUGGACGGAAGGCGAGUU